AUUGAACGCUGGCGGCAUGCUUUACACAUGCAAGUCGAACGGCAGCGGGGAGGAGCUUGCUUCUCUGCCGGCGAGUGGCGAACGGGUGAGUCAUACAUCGGAACGUGUCGAGAAGAGGGGGAUAACUACCCGAAAGGGUGGCUAAUACCGCAUAAAUCCUGAGGAAGAAAGCUGGGGACCUAGGAAUAGGCCUAGCGCUUUUUGAGCGGCCGAUGUCGGAUUAGCUAGUUGGUGAGGUAAAGGCUCACCAAGGCGAAGAUCUGUAGCGGGUCUGAGAGGAUGAUCCGCCACACUGGGACUGAGACACGGCCCAGACUCCUACGGGAGGCAGCAGUGGGGAAUUUUGGACAAUGGGGGCAACCCUGAUCCAGCCAUGCCGCGUGUAUGAAGAAGGCCUUAGGGUUGUAAAGUACUUUUGUUAGGGAAGAAAAGUCAGCUGUGAAUAAUGGCUGAUACUGACGGUACCUAAAGAAUAAGCACCGGCUAACUACGUG
rnacentral:rRNA from 1 species